GCAGAAGGAUCAUUAGUGAAGAUUUGGGCAGGCCAUACGGACGCCAAAAAGUGUCCCUGGCCGCCUACACCCACUAUACAUCCACAAACCCGUGUGCACUGUCUUGGAGAAAGGCUUCAGAGAAGUUUUUUGUGGCCCCUCUUGGGGUCUUUCUUCGCUACAAACUCGAAUGGUUAGUAUGAACGUGGAACUUGGUUGGACCGUCACUGGCCAACAAACUAUACACAACUUUCGACAACGGAUCUCUUGGUUCUCCCA
rnacentral:misc_RNA from 1 species